rnacentral:rRNA from 1 species
GGAGCAUGUGGUUUAAUUCGAUGCAACGCGAAGAACCUUACCAAGGCUUGACAUGAACUGGAAAUACCUGGAAACAGGUGCCCCGCUUGCGGUCGGUUUACAGGUGGUGCAUGGUUGUCGUCAGCUCGUGUCGUGAGAUGUUGGGUUAAGUCCCGCAACGAGCGCAACCCUCGUUCUAUGUUGCCAGCACGUUAUGGUGGGGACUCAUAGGAGACUGCCGGGGUCAACUCGGAGGAAGGUGAGGACGACGUCAAAUCAUCAUGCCCCUUAUGUCUUGGGCUUCACGCAUGCUACAAUGGCCGGUACAAUGGGUUGCGAUACUGUGAGGUGGAGCUAAUCCCAAAAAGCCGGUCUCAGUUCGGAUUGGGGUCUGCAACUCGACCCCANGAAGUCGGAGUC